rnacentral:lncRNA from 1 species
GGGUGGGAGAGCAUGUACCUGAAGCUGGGACGCAUGGACUUGUGUGCAAGGCCCCUCAUGGACAAAGUAAGAGGUAGGAUGAGAAGAGAGGCAGCCUAGAGGCAGAGGCCCAUUUCUCCUCAUGCUGCCACAUUCUGGCAUGGAACUCAAGGGAUUCUAAGAAUUCUGCAUUUGAAUCUGUCCUUCCAGGUAGUUAUGAAGGCACAUUUGACAAGAGGAAAGAACAUAUUUGGUAUCUUGCUUGAUAUCUAACUUUUAAGUGUGUAGACAUAUGGAAUGGACCCCUAUAUGCAACUCAAGCCCUUUGGUAGCGAUGACCAUUGGCACUGUAUCAUCCAUCCAGAUUCAUGUCUCCCUGCUUCAGCCUGAUGGCAGAACUUGUGGAGAAAUAUGGAGCCACAGACAGAGAUCCUCUUAAGAACCCUGGGUCAGGAGAGUCAAAAGGACACGCCGAUAGGGUAAAACUUGUUUCCCAUUAGCUAGAUAAAUAGACACUUCCUAAAAAUUAAACUGCUGUUUACACAUUUUAAUUUGUAAUAAAC